GGUGAACGCUGGCGGUAGGCCUAACACAUGCAAGUCGAACGGCAGCACAGUAAGAGCUUGCUCUUACGGGUGGCGAGUGGCGGACGGGUGAGGAAUACAUCGGAAUCUACUUUUUCGUGGGGGAUAACGUAGGGAAACUUACGCUAAUACCGCAUACGACCUACGGGUGAAAGCAGGGGAUCUUCGGACCUUGCGCGAUUGAAUGAGCCGAUGUCGGAUUAGCUAGUUGGCGGGGUAAAGGCCCACCAAGGCGACGAUCCGUAGCUGGUCUGAGAGGAUGAUCAGCCACACUGGAACUGAGACACGGUCCAGACUCCUACGGGAGGCAGCAGUGGGGAAUAUUGGACAAUGGGCGCAAGCCUGAUCCAGCCAUACCGCGUGGGUGAAGAAGGCCUUCGGGUUGUAAAGCCCUUUUGUUGGGAAAGAAAUCCAGCCGGCUAAUACCUGGUUGGGAUGACGGUACCCAAAGAAUAAGCACCGGCUAACUUCGUG
rnacentral:rRNA from 1 species